GAGACAAUGCAAAAGGAAUCUCUUACAGAUGGCAGGGCAGAGAAGAAAAAUGCAGAACUGGAACCUUGGAUCUGUACAGCCUGAAAUGGUAGAAACAGGAGAGUAAGGAUUUCCUUUGCUGGCUUUAUUCCACCCAGAUGAGAGCCUGGCAGGUGUUUGCUAGGAGGACACAGGGAAUACAGAGGGAUCCAAAUGCUCAUGCAUGUUGACCACACACUUCUGCAUUGCUUGAAUACCCACAAUGCCUGCAGGUUGAGCAUCUGCACAGCCGCAAGUCAUGCUAUUCAAAUGAUCUCCGUGCUCAUCAGCCCCACACACCCCAGAUUUUCAGAGGAUCUGAGCAGGUUCCACUGGCUUCACAUUAUUAUUGUGGGGCUCCCACUCCAACCUACGCGCCAGACCCAGGAACAUCAAAGGCACUGCAGAAGUUCACACCAGAUGAAAGGCUGGUCCCACCCCUCUUGCCCACGGAUCACUGCUUUCCCACCUGGGUAAAAUGGUGGGUAGAGGCAGGGUGGGACCAUGGGGAAGGGCAGUCUCUGCCCCGGUGCUUUCUCUUGGCUGCCAGGGCAGCGCCCUGGGGAGGUAUCCACAAACUGGAGCUCAGCCUUCACCCAAGGCUAUGUCUGCAAAGGGCAUGCUGCCUCCUCCUUGGCAUCCAGCUGCCAGUGCCCUUGUUUUCCUUUCCAGCCCUUGCUGAGGCACAGGGCUUGCUGAAAGGAAUCAGCUCGGAUGUAGCCUCCUGAUUUUACUCAGUUUGAAUCAGCAUUAAAAGCCUGCAGUUGUCUGGGCUUCCUGUGAAAUGAAAUCUCCCAAAAAAUAAGUGGCUGCACUUUUCCCAAAAAGGCCCGGCUGUCAGUAAAACACAGCAUGGAGUAAAGGAGCAGCAUCUCUGUGCAGUAUAACAAGCUGUCUACAGGUUGGAAAGGCAUGAGUUUGCACAGCUUAGCUUAUAUAAAUUGAACAGCAAGUGCCAGCAAACUGCAGCAAUGUGAGAGAACCCAGUAAGUUUGAAGUGUUACAGAACAAAGCUACUUUUAUGAUUUAUACACUUGCCAGCCAUCAAAUUCUUAACUGAAACUGGAGCUUUCCUGGUAGCACCACGAGGGCUAGAGGGGCUGUGAAGAAUUUCUGGUAUUGAAGCAGCUGUCCCAGUGUGAGAUAGAGCUAUCAAUAGGAGGUCUAUCAGGGCCAGCAACAAAUGGGCCAUUGGUUUUGGUUUCCUCCACCUCACCAGCUCCACUAUGAGUCAUAUAGAGUGGUCACAACCCUCUAGACAACUGUCAUAAUCACUCUUUGCAAAGUGUGGCAGCAACUGAGGAGCCCCCAUGCUUCCCAACAAACUAUGCAUCCUUUGCUGUAUGGACCCAAAUGUCUGGAGCUGAGGGAGAAAACCUCAUGUGGUGGCAUUCUUGAAAGCCUAAUGUCCCCAAGCCUGUGCUUGUUCCUGGGCAGCAAGGGGGCCCAAAAGGGCUGCAAGGAGUUUAUGGUCACUGAAAGGAGGACAGGUAGACACUGCAUCCCUGUGAGCUGCCUUGUGGGAUCUGUAGUUGAAGAAGAUGGGCUGAAAGUCAUGGUUUUACUGCUGGCGAGAGUUGUGUCAGGCUUGUAGCUUUGUUAUACUUUUGUUUUCCUGCAUGCCCAGGGAGGAGUCACUUGGGUGUAACCUUUCUGAAGUGUUUUUACCUCCUGUGUAAAAUGGAGAUGAUAGCAUUUAACUACUCUUUAGCAAAAUGAAGCAUCUUUACAAAGGCAAGAAGAAAUGCAAAGAUUCCAGUAAUUUUGCUUGCUGAAUGAACUUUGGUCAAUAGGUCCAAAUACCAGCCAGUGUCCCCAGUAUAUAAUAUGAUGGCAGGUUCUUGUGUCAGUACUUCCCUGGAAGUGGUAAGAAACACUGGCUAGAGUGCCUUCAGACCAUGAUCUCCGUGCUAAUGCUAAGCUUGUAUGCCCUGAGACAUUAUUUAUUUAGAUAAUAGCUGUUAUUGCUGCUGUUUUGCCAGAAAACAUCCUCUGAUUUCUGCUGCUUCUGAGCCUGCAGCAUUAGAGAUUAUUUUUUUCACAUUUAUUUGCACAUUGCUCUCAUUAAUGCUUCCAGCAGAAGCCUGUGGGCACUAGGAUGAGGAGACAAGGCAUGAAAUCAAUGGCAGGCAGGCAGGAGGAUGUGGCAGGAAAGCCCAGCAGGAAUAUAUUUGAAUAUCAGCAUAUUAAAUGUUUGUGAGGUUGUGUAAAAGUUGUGAUAGUACACAGCCAUCACAGGGGCUACCUUGUAACUACUGAGGGCUGACUGUGGGGUGGGACUCCCAUCUUCAGGCUAAAAAUAUCGCGGGAUACUCUAUAUCCAACAAGUGCACAACAGUGAGUAGGUAUAGCUAACGAUACUUCGGGCAUGGACUUUGUAAGACUGGACAGUUAUUUCCUCUACAUUUUCCUUGUGCAUGCCAUCUGAAAUUCCAGUAGCUAUUGUAAUUACUUAUUUUGCAAAAGUGCAAUGCUGAUGAUGGAGAGAGAGAAACCUGUGUCAGAACAGGAACAUGUUAGGUUAUUUUGGUAUGGAAUGAAGUGGGGGACUUGUGAAAUUAAGGGUUUUGGCUCAGACUCCCAGUGCAUCUAUUUUUAGGGUGAGGCAGAGUAAGGCCAGUUAACACAUGGUGGAAGAACUUGUUCUUCCCAUCGGGAGCAGUUGGUCUCUCCCCACUCACUCUGUUUAUUUGCAGGCAGCAGACUUUUCCUCUUGGCCUUCUCUCUUCUCCCAUUUAAUUUGGAUUGGCCAUCUCUUCCACUUAAACAGAAUCCAGCAGUAUUUCAAUGCCAGGAAAAAUACCCAAAUGCUGCUCUCAAAGCCACAAAGGGUUCAGUUAUUUCCUGGAGAUGAUAUGAAGCUUAUAGAAUUACAAGAGAUGGUUAUCGACUCUUACUUGUGGAGUAAAAGGGUUGGGAGUGAGUAGAAUAGAAAUCAUUGUGAUUCUGUGAAAGUCUCCCAGAUCAUUUCAUAAAAUCAGGUUAUGUGCAGGUGGCAGGUGGAGGAGAAGGGGAAUAAGUCUUGGCACUUUCUUAUCUCUCUCCCAGCUCUGCACUAGGCUUGGUUUUGGGAGUGGUGGCUGUGCAGAGAAGGGAGCAUGCUCAGUGCUGGGGUGCGUCCUGCAGCCUUCAUCCCCACUGCUUCCUCUGUAGACUAGCAGCUUCUCACCAGACAAAAAACAUUGGUUAACUGUUUUAUUAGGUGGAGGAGAAAUGGCUGCACUUGUCCUGGGAUAACAAGAGAAGAGGCACCAGGAUGUCAUUUUUUAUGUCACUGUGUUAAGCUCAGUUGCUUAUUUUCCAUAUGAGCUGUAAUUUGAUGAUGAUGGAAAACGGGAUAUGUGUUUAGGACACAAUAGGUGAACAAAUUUUCAUGGUAUGGGUUAUACUGGUGUGCCUGGUAGUAAACAGGAGGCGUGUGGAAGCAUGUAUGCAUAAUGCCUGUUGUACUGGACUGCCCGUGUGUGGGAAUUCAAAAUAGCUCUUGGACUUAACUGUGGUAAAAUAAAGUAAUCUUCUGUAUGUGGUAUGGAGGAGUUGAGAGAAAAUGCAACCUGUCCUUUGAGACAACUUUCUUAGCAAAGUCCGGAGAAGGAAGAAUAUAUUUACUUCACCAGUUACAGCACCUGCGUUUUGGCUGUUCAGCCAUGAGGCAGCUCUCCUUCUAGAAAGUCAGGUUUUAUAUAUGGCAUUUGUACAGUCAGCCAAGAAUAGCGCUGGUUAGGUAGCCCAGUAACACAACCUGGUACAGAUGAGAUCAGAGCUUCUACAAAGAAACGCAGAUAAGAAACAGCUGAUUCCAGAAGCAUUGCCUGAAAUAUAGCCCUUAAUCCUAUUACUGCAGGCUAUUGCUGCAGGCUGCGGCCUCCCCAGGUCUCUUUCAGUUUGCUGCUGUUUUGUAUUUUAAACGGGCAUGAUUUUCAGCUCACUGCAUCAGAAGGCACCUUUCCUUUUUAAGGAAGAAGGAGGAAAAUUGAUGUAGCAUUGUAAACGCAUGUUGGUGAUUCUAUUGUAGUAGCUGUUGUGGUCACAAUGGAGUUAAGGAGAAAGAGGAAGGUUCCUUUGUGGGCUAAUAGGUGGGAAGUGCAGCUCAUUUUUCAAAUUAAGAGUAACUAACCAGAGAAGGCAAUACUCUGAUCAAGAGUCCAAUAUGGUGGGAGAGUCCAAGAACAAGAGAUACUGACUUGCUGACUAAAGGACCCAAUCACAUAGAGGAAUGCACACAGGGAUUGAAAACAAAAAAGAGCUUGGCUCUCAGAAUGACCCCAAGAUCUGGAGAACCACCCAAAGAGCCUGGAUGCAGAUGCCCAGAGGGCCAGCUGUCCACAUUUGCCCUAUGCUGCUUUUCUCAUGCCCAUGGUCCUGCAGAGAAGCCCUCAGCUUUGCUUCUUAGAAAUGACUGGCAUCAAGUACUGCCCAUGUCAGACCAAGGGGGUGCUUUUUACCCCAAGUGAACAUGUGUAUUGAAGUCAGGCUCUUGGCAAAUAUUCCAAGAUGAUAUUUUUCCUGCCAUGAUCCCAGCACAGGGUGUGCAAAGAAGGAAAACAAUCUUAUGCAGAUCCCCUGCUGAGCUUGGCCAACAGACUGCAAGUCUAUUGUGGUAUACAUGGCCAUACUGGAUCAGACCCAUGUCCUGCCUCUAGAAUGCUGGACUGUGACCUUCCUGCCUCUAAAGAGUGGGAUGGUAAGAUUCUACCAUGAGUUCUUUGGCCACUUGCUGCAGCUGAGUCUUCAGUACCAUCCCCAGGCUCUGCAGACAGCUUUAGGCCACAGUUAAGUCCCACAAAACCAAGGGACUGUUUGGAUGCACAUGCUGUCUUGGAAACGUAUAAAAUAUAAUCUUGAAUUGCAGACAUUUGUGCAAAGCCAGCAUUUUGAGUUUCUCCAUUGCUCUCUUUCAGAUUGGCUAGAGAUAGGACAUUUUUUUGUGUGUGAAUUCAGGCCCCCUAGAGCAUCUGGAGCAGAACUGUGGAUUAGUGACACUUUCAGGCCAGUGAAAUUUGGGAUGUAACUUUAAGCAUUUUGUUGUUGACUAAAGCAAGCAGAGCAUUUCUUGAUCACAGGGAUGUAUAUCUUUCAUCUAUGCUGCUACUUCAAGGCUUAAUUCAGCAAACACUAAAAAUGUAUUGGUUGGUCUUCCCACUGCCUACCUUCCCACCUUCACUUCCUCCAGCUAUUUGUUUUGAGUUACUUGUUCAGGAGUUGCUUUCCCUUUGACUUUAAAAGUUUGCCUUGCACAGCAAAAAAAAAAACCUGGUAUUUUGUUGUCUUUGGUAUUUGGCAGGAAAGUGAAAAGAACACAAAGAAGAAAAAGAUAAUUGUUUUUUUUCCUGAUGAUUUAACACACAAGUGUUCUUUUUAGUGCUACUGCUGCUGCUGCUGUGUUAGAGCAUCUUCUUUUCUCAGGCAUACCAGAGCUACUAUAGAGAGGAUAAAACAGGGUGCCUCUUAGCUCUGCUUUGCUGGUCCUAGCAGCUGACUGGGAGCUGAGACCUGCCCAUCCACUUGCUGCUCUGAGUAGGGCUCCCUUGUAAGCUGUUUUGAUGCAGGUGAUAGAGUCAGACAGAGCAGCUUUUGUGCGGAGAUUUGCACAGCUCAUUCCUCUGCUUUACUGCUUUAGCAAAAGUUGAAACAGGUGUGCUGGAGCCACUCUGUUCAUUGCAUUUUUUUUUCAGGUUCAUAUUCCCGCGUAUUAUUUUAUUUUGUGAUGUUCCUUAUUUUGAGUUGAGGGUGAUCUUCAUCUCCUCAGGACAUAUGGAAUGGUUGGUGAAAGCUCCCAGGUAGCUUUUUCCAGAUAGCUGGGAAAGGAUGUAUUUGGCAGCAGGGAUGGUAGUUGGUUCAGCAGUGUAUCUGAGAAGUCUGAGCCUCUAAUUUGGGAUGCAUACUUUCUGGUUUCAGCCAGAAGACUAGUUUCUCUCAUGAUAUUUUUAUUUUCCUCUUUCACCACCAGCUGCGAGCAGGAAACACACGGGGCACACAGUGUGCAGGCGAUCCAGCAAAGCCAAUUAUAUGAACUCUAACUUUUUGAGGUUUUUUUUUUUUUUUGAGAGUGAGAAGCAGGACCUAAAGGGCCAUUUCUCUCCUUUCUUUUUCUAACAGUCUCAGUCUCUACCUGCUGGCAUGAGAGAAAACUGAGAGUUUCUCACCUUCCUCUUGCAGCAUAGCAGCAUGGGAGAGUCUUGCUCACAGAAUGAAAGAAGAAGCAGGAAGAAGGAAAUGAACAGCUGAGUCAUUAUUGCAGAAAGAAGUUACAGGAAAGGGGAGGACGGGAGGGGGCUGGCCAUGUAACUUCGAGAAAAGGCACAAACGUGGUGAUGAACAAUUGCAGAGACAGCAGAUCCUCUCCAUCUCACAGGGCACAUGGAGGUACAAGGGAGCCCCUGCCCAGGGACACUGGCAACUUUCAGUGGGUUCCAGCUACUGAGAAAUACAUGGAGACUCCAUGCUGUAAGUCAGCUAUACAAACAAGGAAAAAAAUGGCUGAGACAGAGAAAGUGAUGUAUUAACACUAAUAAUAGGAAAACUGCUUAAUAGCUGGAGAUGCUAUGGGCAUGGAUAAAUAAAAAUAUGGCGUGGAGGGUACCAAUUACAAUACUAGUUAGUCCUGUCAGGAUGUUGAUAACUCUUUGCUGCAAUCUAUGGAAGAGAAAACUUAUCUGUACUGAUGCUUUGAGCACUACUCCUUUGUGUGCCUUGCUUUUUUAUUUCCAUACACAAUUUAUCAAUAUAAGAAACUGCACAUGUAGUGUUGGCAAGUACAGACUAAUCCAAUUAUAGAUUAGUUCUUGAGUCUAACUCAUAGGUUGUUCUCCAAAGGCCCCUGUAAUGGAAAAAAAGUUUAUGCAUGUCCAUUUUUUUGAAGAAAAAGUCUUCUAAUUCUUCCAACAGCAAAUGAAAGCAAGCAGUAAUGUUGGAGUUGAAAUCGUUUACAAGCAUUAAGUAUUAAUAACCAAGUAAUUACCAUAGCAAUAACCCUAAUGAAAAACACUAGUUUGUGUUUCCAGAAGGUUAUGCUAUGCAAAGAUGGAAAGAAAUUUCAUACAGUUCAUUGCCCUGCCUGUACAAGACAGUUUCUAGGCCGAAGAAUUCAGCAGUUACUGAACUGAACACUCACUUAUCUUGACCUCUGCAGAUCUGCCUUGACCAAUAAGAGCAACUGCGGAAUGAGUAGAGCUAGGCAAAACAUCAGUGUGCUUGCAAGCAAGAAUACUGGCCUCAAGGAUUUUGAUGUAGAACUGUUUUUCUGUGCAAAUGAAUCUAGAAGAAACCUUCACACGUUUUUGUCUCAGACUGCUGGUGAAAAAUAUCCUAGACCAUCAUGUUGGACUUCUUUGUUUUCCCAAAUCUCAGGUUCCCAUUUUUUUCCCCGAGACACUGAGUUAAUACUCAUAAACAAAUACAAUUUUGGGUUCUCAUUCAAAUUGCUGGGCAGAUUUUCAUUACUGCCUGUACUAAACUUCAUACAGACCUUUUAAUGGUCCUGGUUAUCUUGUAAACUCCAGGACUGCAAGAAGGUGAAAGAGAUGAUCCAUUCACCCAAUGAACAAGGUUUAUUUCCCUCUUCCUCCAACCAUUCACUUGGGCUUUUAGGUCCUUUUGUAGCUAACAUCGUUAGGUCCAUAGCUAACAUCAUAUGUUCAUGACAGACUGGGCAGAUGAGGGGAAAGCAGUGGAUAUUGUCUGCCUUGACUUCAGCAAGGCUUUUGACACUGUCUCUCACAACAUCCUUGUAGGUAAGCUUAGGAAAUGUGGGAUACAUGAGUGGACAGUGAGGUGAAUUAAGUAAGAACUGUCUGACUAUCAGAGCUCAGAGGGUAGUGAUCAGUGGCACAGAGUCUAGGUGGAGACCUGUAGGUAGUGGUGUUACCCAGGGGUUGGUUCUGGGUUUGGUUUGCUUAACAUCUUCAUCAGUGAUCUGGACAAAGGGAUGGGAUGCUCCCUCAGCAAGUCUGAUGUUGAUAUGCAGCUGGGAGGAAUGGCUGACACACCAGAAGGCCAUGCUGCCAUUCAGCAAGGCCUGGACAGUCUGGAGAGCUGGGCAGAGAGGAAACUGAUGAGGUUCCACAAGAGCAAGUGUAAAGUCCUACACCUGGGAAGGAAUAACUGCACGUUAGUACAGGUUAGAGGCUGAUCUGAUGGAAAGGAGCUCUGCAGAGAAGCCCCUGAGUAUAAUGCUGGACAACAGGUUGACCAUGAGCCACCAAUGUACCUUUGUGGCCAAGAGGGUCAAUCAAGUGUCCUGGGAUGCAUUAAAAAGAUUGUAGAUAGCAGGUCAAGGGAGGUUCUCUCUCUACUCUGCCCUGGUGAAGCCUCAUCUGGAGUACUGUGUCCAGUUCUGGGCUUCUCAGUUCAGCAAAGACAGGAAACUACAGGAGAGAGUCCAGCAGAGAGCUAGAAGGUUGAUUAGGGGCCUAGAGGCCUUAUGAGGAAAGGCUGAGACCUGGAACUGUUAGGCCUGGAGAAGACUGAGAGGGAAUCUUAUCAGUGCUUAUAAAUAUCUAAUGGCUGGGAGUCAAGAGGAUGUGGCCAGACCUUUUUCACUGGUGCCCAGUAACAGGAUAAAGGGCAAUGGACACAAGCUGGAACAUAGGAAUUUGUGAGACUCCUUCUCUGGAGAUAUUCAAAAUCCUUCUGGACACUUUCCUGUGUAACCUGUAUAGGGAACCUUCUUUAACAAGGGGGUUGGACUAGAUGAUCUCCAGAAGUCUCUUCCAACCUUUAUGAUUCUGUGAUUCUGCGUUUCAGUAGGUAAGUUGGCCACUGAAAACCACAAAGUCUAGAGAUGUGCUUCAAAAGAGUUUUCUUGAUCCACAUGGUGUGUUGAACUUUGUACAAAAAGUUCACUGGAGUCUUCUAUGAUGAGAAUCCUAGCCUAGAUCACAGAAUCAUAGAAUUGUAGGGUUUU